AAUCAACGCUGGCGGCGUGCCUAACACAUGCAAGUCGAACGCGAAAGGGGUUUCGGCCCUGAGUAGAGUGGCAAACGGGUGAGUAACGCGUGGGUGACCUACCCUUGAGCGGGGGAUAACGUUUCGAAAGGAACGCUAAUACCGCAUGACAUCCUGUCCUUGGACGGACGGAGAUCAAAGCCGGGGAUCGCAAGACCUGGCACUCGAGGAGGGGCCCGCGUCCGAUUAGCUAGUUGGUGGGGUAAUGGCUCACCAAGGCUCCGAUCGGUAGCCGGCCUGAGAGGGCGGACGGCCACACUGGGACUGAGACACGGCCCAGACUCCUACGGGUGGCAG
rnacentral:rRNA from 1 species